rnacentral:tRNA from 1 species
GAGCCCGUGGCUCAAUAGUAGAGCGUUUGAGUCAAAUACAAAAGGUCGCGGGUUCGAAUCCCAGGUUCG